rnacentral:rRNA from 1 species
UUGGGGAAUUUUGGACAAUGGGCGCAAGCCUGAUCCAGCAAUGCCGCGUGCAGGAUGAAGGCUUCGGGUUGUAAACUGCUUUUGUACGGAACGAAAAGGGUUUUUCUAAUAAAGAGACCUGAUGACGGUACCGUAAGAAUAAGCACCGGCUAACUACGUGCCAGCAGCCGCGGUAAUACGUAGGGUGCAAGCGUUAAUCGGAAUUACUGGGCGUAAAGCGUGCGCAGGCGGUUAUGUAAGACAGGUGUGAAAUCCCCGGGCUUAACCUGGGAACUGCAUUUGUGACUGCAUAGCUAGAGUACGGUAGAGGGGGAUGGAAUUCCGCGUGUAGCAGUGAAAUGCGUAGAUAUGCGGAGGAACACCGAUGGCGAAGGCAAUCCCCUGGACCUGUACUGACGCUCAUGCACGAAAGCGUGGGGAGCAAACAGGAUUAGAUACCCUGGUAGUCCACGCCCUAAACGAUGUCAACUNNUUGUUGGGUCUUCACUGACUCAGUAACGAAGCUAACGCGUGAAGUUGACCGCCUGGGGAGUACGGCCGCAAGGUUGC